rnacentral:sRNA from 1 species
GAAGGGGAGAAGGNGGCGUGCCUAAUACAUGCAAGUCGAGCGAAUCGAUGUGACCUUGCUCCCUGAGAAUAGCGGCGGACGGGUGAGUAACACGUGGGUAACCUACCUGUAAGACUGGGAUAACUUCGGGAAACCGGAGCUAAUACCGGAUACUUUCUUUUCUCGCAUGAGGGAAGAUGGAAAGAUGGCUUUGCUAUCACUUACAGAUGGACCCGCGGCGCAUUAGCUAGUUGAUGAGGUAACGGCUCACCAAGGCAACGAUGCGUAGCCGACCUGAGAGGGUGAUCGGCCACACUGGGACUGAGACACGGCCCAGACUCCUACGGGAGGCAGCAGUG